rnacentral:rRNA from 1 species
GACGAACGCUGGCGGCGUGCUUAAUACAUGCAAGUCGAGCGUGAAAGUGGGGCAACCCAUGAGUAAAGCGGCGCACGGGUGAGGAACACGUAGAUUAUCUGCCCUUGAGAUCGAGAUAACCCCGGGAAACUGGGGCUAAUACCGGAUAACGCACUAUUAUUGGUUUAGUAGUGUUAAAGUGGCGCAAGUCACACUUGAGGAUGAGUCUGCGACCUAUCAGCUAGUUGGCGGGGUAAAGGCCCACCAAGGCGAAGACGGGUAGCUGAUCUGAGAGGAUGAUCAGCCACACUGGGACUGAGACACGGCCCAGACUCCUACGGGAGGCAGCAGUAGGGAAUAUUGCGCAAUGGGGGAAACCCUGACGCAGCGACGCCGCGUGAGUGAUGAAGGCCUUUCUGGUUGUAAAGCUCUGUAAGGAGGGAAGAACCGCAGGUAGUAAUGUACCUGUCUGACGGUACCUCCGAAGUAAGGACCGGCUAAAUACGUGCCAGCAGCCGCGGUAAAG